CAACAAGUAUGUUGAUUACUCAAGGAUUAAUUAGUAAAGGAAUACUUUCAAGUCAUCCCAAAUAUGGUUCCAUCCCUAAACUUAUACUUGCUUGUAUCAUGGGAUACUUUGCUGGAAAACUUUCUUAUGUGAAAACUUGCCAAGAGAAAUUCAAGAAACUUGAAAAUUCCCCCCUUGGAGAAGCUUUACGAUCAGGACAAGCACGACGAUCUUCACCACCUGGGCACUAUUAUCAAAAGUCAAAAUAUGACUCAAGUGUGAGUGGUCAAUCAUCUUUUGUGACAUCCCCAGCAGCAGACAACAUAGAAAUGCUUCCUCAUUAUGAGCCAAUUCCAUUCAGUUCUUCUAUGAAUGAAUCUGCUCCCACUGGUAUUACUGAUCAUAUUGUCCAAGGUAGAAACUUCUCUUGAAAUGAAUUUCAACAUUUUAUGGUCCAACGACCUGAUCCCAACCUUGAAGAAAGUCCUAAAAGAAAAAAUAUUACAUAUGAGGAAUUAAGGAAUAAGAACAGAGAGUCAUAUGAAGUAUCUUUAACACAAAAGACUGACCCCUCAGUCAGGCCUAUGCAUGAAAGAGUGCCAAAAAAAGAAGUCAAAGUAAACAAGUAUGGAGAUACUUGGGAUGAGUGAAAAAUUACAUCAUUGGACAUGAAGGAGUUUCAACAUCCAGCUUCAUCUAGGUGGUCAUGAUUACCUGCAUGCUUUGAGCUCAGCAGCAGUCUUCAUAAACACAUUUAAAACAAGAUCCUGGGUUUUUGUGGUUUGACUUCUAUGGUGUUUUAAAAAAACACAGAUUUUUAGUGUUAAUAUUGUGUAAAUGUACUCACCUUAGGGAUUCAUUUGAAUGAUGGUAUUAUACCAUGAUUGUAUACAGUUUGUGAAAUUGUUGCAAGGGCAAAGAUAACUCUUAAAAAACCGUCGAGAUUACAAUGCUCUAGAAUCAGCAUAUAAGAAAAUAAAUGAUAUCUGCAUGUUGAAUUGGGGUGGAUGGGGGGAGCAAGCAUAAUUUUUAAGUGUGAAGCUUUGCAUCAAGAAAUUAUUAAAAAGCUUUUUUUCUCCAGUAUUUUCUGUAUUAUCUUAAUGUUUAUGGCAAAUAAAAUGUAAAGGAACAUG
rnacentral:lncRNA from 1 species